UACGGAGGGUGCAAGCGUUAAUCGGAAUUACUGGGCGUAAAGCGUGCGCAGGCUGUUUGGUAAGUCAGAUGUGAAAUCCCCGAGCUCAACUUGGGAACUGCGUUUGAAACUACCAGACUAGAAUAUGUCAGAGGGGGGUAGAAUUCCACGUGUAGCAGUGAAAUGCGUAGAGAUGUGGAGGAAUACCGAUGGCGAAGGCAGCCCCCUGGGAUAAUAUUGACGCUCAUGCACGAAAAGCGUGGGGGAGCGACAGGAUUAGAUAC
rnacentral:rRNA from 1 species